rnacentral:tRNA from 2 species
UGGGGUGUAGCCAAGCGGUAAGGCAACGGGUUUUGAUCCCGUCAUGCGUAGGUUCGAAUCCUGCCACCCCAGCCA